UGGGGAAUAUUGCACAAUGGGCGCAAGCCUGAUGCAGCCAUGCCGCGUGUGUGAAGAAGGCCUUCGGGUUGUAAAGCACUUUCAGCGGGGAGGAAGGCGAUAAGGUUAAUAACCUUGUCGAUUGACGUUACCCGCAGAAGAAGCACCGGCUAACUCCGUGCCAGCAGCCGCGGUAAUACGGAGGGUGCAAGCGUUAAUCGGAAUUACUGGGCGUAAAGCGCACGCAGGCGGUCUGUCAAGUCGGAUGUGAAAUCCCCGGGCUUAACCUGGGAACUGCAUUCGAAACUGGCAGGCUAGAGUCUUGUAGAGGGGGGUAGAAUUCCAAGUGUAGCGGUGAAAUGCGUAGAGAUCUGGAGGAAUACCGGUGGCGAAGGCGGCCCCCUGGACAAAGACUGACGCUCAGGUGCGAAAGCGUGGGGAGCAAACAGG
rnacentral:rRNA from 1 species